rfam:Stegodyphus mimosarum contig109013, whole genome shotgun sequence.
GAAAAGGUCCUUUUCAGGGCCAUACAAUAUUUCAAAAAGGUGAAAA